UAUGAUCGACUAUAAUAGGAU
rnacentral:piRNA from 1 species